rnacentral:lncRNA from 1 species
CCUGCUUUGAAGCAGUUUUAUCAAGAAUCGAACCUACGCCAUCUCUUCCUCGCUCAUCAGCUUCUACAUCCCCAUGGCCAUCAUGAUCGUGACCUACACGCGCAUCUACCGCAUCGCCCAGGUGCAGAUCCGCAGGAUUUCCUCCCUGGAGAGGGCCGCAGAGCACGGGCAGAGCUGCCGGAGCAGCGCAGGCUGCGCACCCGAAACCAGCCUGCGGUUUUCCAUCAGAAGGAGACCGAGGUUCUCAAGACCCUG